UACGUAGGGUGCAAGCGUUGUCCGGAAUUAUUGGGCGUAAAGAGCUCGUAGGCGGUCUGUCGCGUCGGAUGUGAAAACCCAGGGCUCAACCCUGGGCCUGCAUUCGAUACGGGCAGACUAGAGUUCGGUAGGGGAGACUGGAAUUCCUGGUGUAGCGGUGAAAUGCGCAGAUAUCUGGAGGAACACCGGUGGCGAAGGCGGCAUCCUGGACCAACACUGACGCUGAGUGAGCGAAAGCCAGGGGAGCAAACGGG
rnacentral:rRNA from 1 species